rnacentral:rRNA from 1 species
GACGAACGCUGGCGGCGUGCUUAACACAUGCAAGUCGAACGAAGUGGCGAACGGGUGAGUAACGCGUAAUCAAACUGCCCUUCAGAGGGGGACAACAGUUGGGAACGACUGCUACUACCGCAUACAGAAGGCGGGGAUUGCGUCUGAUUAGCUAGUUGGAGGGGUACCGGCCCACCAAGGCGAUGAUCAGUAGCCGGUCUGAGAGGAUGAACGGCCACAGUGGGACUGAGACACGGCCCAGACUCCGACGGGAGGCAGCAGUGGGGAAUCGUCCGCAAUGGACGAAAGUCUGACGGAGCAACGCCGCGUGAGUGAUGACGGCCUUCGGGUUGUAAAGCUCUGUUAAUCGGGACGCGGUACCGGAAUAGAAAGCCACGGCUAACUACGUGCCAGCAGCCGCGGUAAUAC